ensembl:lncRNA
AGCACACGGCCAGCGGCUUUCCUCCAGCCCGGCACUUUGUGACAUAGACUUCAAAUGUGGCGCCUCUCUUGUCCUGCCCCACCCCGACGCGUCCAGGUGAGUGGCUGGCCUCCAGCCUUUUGCUCUUUCAGCCACCAUGGCCACCUCAGAGGUCUCGGGGGUGCCUGGCAGAGGAUCAGUAAAAUCCCCCCUCACCCUCAAGUGAGAAACCCCAGUGGGUUGUGACCUCCUAACAUUUUGUCCAUGUGUAUGUGACGGGGGUGGUGAGUGAGCAGGGGGCUCUCAGGCUGGGGAUGUGGCUUCGGCAAAGCCCAAGUUGGCUUCUUGGGUUCUUCUAGAACAAGCUGUCUCUUAGCAUUGGGGAUCAUCUCCCAUUCCCCGGGGGAAGUCAUGCCCAGAUGGAACGGCACCCCGCCUUCUCCAGGGCGGCCCAGGUCUGGCAGAGGGGGCCCGAGUGUCAACUGGGAGUCAGGAAGCCGCUGGGGAGAGCCAGACCCUGCGAAUACUGGGAUGCGUCAACGGGAAUGUGGAUCUGAAGAACAGAAUGCUGAUGAUCCCCAGGAGGGUCUGAAGGUUAACGGGGGACUGGAGAGAUGAAGCCGGGAGCCUCCCGCCUCCUGCUGUGUGUCCCUGAGACCGUCUCUCUCUAAGACAGCAGAAUUGAACUCCCUGUCCCAAGACCGCACAACUGCUAAGUGGUGACCCGUGAUUCCAGCCCCCACCCGUCUGCCCUCCUGGUGUCAGGAAUAAUGCAUGGGCGUGUCCAUGCAUUAUUGGAGCGUCGUGUCCACUAAAGGCUAACUCCCGUCAUUGGUCUUUAUAGUGUAACCACGCUGUGGGCCGACAGUGCCCGUGACGUCUCCACUGUGGCUCCGUUGAUGGGCACAGUGGCUCCCGUCAUGGCCAGGGGGAAGGAGCAGGAGACAUGACUCUGGGGGGGAGGGGGGGAGUUUGAGGUCUUCGGUGGAGGACCGGGGGUUUGGUCAGACAGCAAGGAGCAGGGUGGUGGCAGUGAGGGCUGAGUUCCCCUUCCAGGCCCUCGGGGACAUUUCUGGUCUCUGAGGGUGGCAUGCAAGGUCCUCAGGCCUGGCUUGUGUCCCCCUUGUCCCCUCCCUCCCUCCAGUCAAACUGACUCACUCCCUCUGCAGCCUGACUGCCCCCUGGCCCCUCUGGGCUCUCACAGUGGGCAUUUAAUUGGGGCCUUGGAUGUUCAGGGCAUGCUCUGUGGAACCCCGGCCAAACCGGGGAUUAAGCAAAGCUAAAUGGGGUUGUUCCUUGCAGGCCUUCCCAGAGGUUUUCAUUUGCUCACGUGUUUUGCGCAGCUUUCUGGAAUGCAUCUGCCCCCUUGACGUUUCUUGCCCUCUGGAGCACUUUUUGGGGUGCUAGGGGUUCCUGGAACAGAUAAAGGAAACGCUGCCUUAGCCCUAAGGGGAAACUUGAAUGGUGCAAUUUCAGGCUGAGGCUCCUGGCCAAGCCUCAAAGGUUUCCUCCUCCUCCUCUUCCCAGGACCAUGGCUCUCUCUGGGGUGGCCCAGUGGGGUAGCAAACUCUGGGC